GACGAACGCUGGCGGCGUGCUUAACACAUGCAAGUCGAACGAUGAAGCUGGAGCUUGCUCCGGCGGAUUAGUGGCGAACGGGUGAGUAACACGUGAGCAAUCUGCCCUUCACUCUGGGAUAACUGCGGGAAACUGUAGCUAAUACCGGAUACGAAGCCUUGGGGCAUCCCAGGGCUUGGAAAGAAUUUCGGUGAAGGAUGAGCUCGAGGCCUAUCAGCUAGUUGGUUAGGUAAUGGAUCACCAAGGCGACGACGGGUAGCCGGCCUGAGGGGGUGACCGGCCGCACUGGGACUGAGACACGGCCCAGACUCCAACGGGAGGCAGCAGUGGGGAAUAUUGCACAAUGGGCGAAAGCCUGAUGCAGCAACUCCGCGUGAGGGAUGAAGGCCUUCGGGUUGUAAACCUCUUUUAGUAGGGAAGAAGCGCAAGUGACGGUACCUACAGAAAAAGCACCGGCUAACUACGUGCCAGCAGCCGCGGUAA
rnacentral:rRNA from 1 species